rnacentral:lncRNA from 1 species
GGGGAGUGAGGAGCUCGCGACGCGCGGCAGCCCGCUCCCUUUUCGGUGAGCUUCAACCGAUCGCAGCUAGGGCUCGGUUUUCUUGGUUUUCGCGACGCUGGUGGAAAGAAACAAGAUGCGGGGCUAGAUUGGCGGCUUUUAUAGGGAUUGGCACACGGGAUAGGAAGGUGAGCACGGGGUUUUCGGGAUCCGGCUCGGAGUUAUGGGAAAGAACCCGCCCUGGAUACGGCGAGGAAGAAGGCACUGCGCGCGGGGUCGGGAUGUCAGCGGGGAAUGGAGCGGGCCCGGCUGUCAGCCAACAGAAGGAGGAGGAGAUGCGGCGCACGCGGGGGCGAGCUGGGCCGCUCGCUGGGCCGAGUGAAGGGGGAGAGGCAAGCAGGCCAGGGAGGGGAAUGGGCCUCGGCCAGACCCAGGGGUUGUUUCCUUCUUUUUUUUCUUUUCUUUUCUAUUUUCUUUUUCCAAAACAUUUUCCAAAUAGAACUCUUGAAAGCAAUUAAAUUCUAAUCAAAAGUCUCCCAGCACGAAAUAAAAUAUGCUCCAGCAUGAAAUGCAAAAUCACGUUUCUAAACUUAUGAUGGAUUUUAAUUUUUACCAAAUUAUUUAUUUGCUAGAUUCAAAUGCUCACAAAAAUACUUAAAUAAAGCCAAUUAAAUCCUAUUAAUUCAAAAGCAAAAUUUGGGUGUUACAUUUGCCUCGAGCUCGCUAAGCUGCUCGAGGUCACGAUGAUGCUCUCGUGAUGGCCUGUGGAG